rnacentral:rRNA from 1 species
UGGGGAAUAUUGCACAAUGGGCGCAAGCCUGAUGCAGCCAUGCCGCGUGUAUGAAGAAGGCCUUCGGGUUGUAAAGUACUUUCAGUCGGGAGGAAGGUGUCAAGGUUAAUAACCUUGGCAAUUGACGUUACCGACAGAAGAAGCACCGGCUAACUCCGUGCCAGCAGCCGCGGUAAUACGGAGGGUGCAAGCGUUAAUCGGAAUUACUGGGCGUAAAGCGCACGCAGGCGGUUGAUUGAGUCAGAUGUGAAAUCCCCGGGCUUAACCCGGGAAUUGCAUCUGAUACUGGUCAGCUAGAGUCUUGUAGAGGGGGGUAGAAUUCCAUGUGUAGCGGUGAAAUGCGUAGAGAAGUGGAGGAAUACCGGUGGCGAAGGCGGCCCCCUGGACAAAGACUGACGCUCAGGUGCGAAAGCGUGGGGAGCAAACAGG